UACGUAGGGUGCGAGCGUUAAUCGGAAUUACUGGGCGUAAAGCGUGCGCAGGCGGUUCUCCAAGUCCGUUGUGAAAGCCCCGGGCUCAACCUGGGAAUGGCAGUGGAAACUAGGGGACUGGAAUCUGGCAGAGGGGGGUGGAAUGCCGCGUGUAGCAGUGAAAUGCGUAGAUAUGUGGAGGAACACCAGUGGCGAAGGCGACUCUCUGGUCUGUAACUGACGCUGAGGUGCGAAAGCAUGGGUAGCGAACAGG
rnacentral:rRNA from 1 species